rnacentral:rRNA from 1 species
AACGAACGUUAGCGGCGCGCCUAACGCAUGCAAGUCGCACGAGAAAGGGCUUCGGCCCCGGUACAGUGGCGCACGGGUGAGUAACACGUGGGUAAUCUGCCUUCGAGCGGGGGAUAACAUUUCGAAAGGAGUGCUAAUACCGCAUAAGACCACGGCUUCGAAAGAAGCAGCGGUCAAAGCUGGCCUCUAUACAUAAGCUAGACCUCGAGGAUGAGCCCGCGGCGCAUCAGCUAGUUGGUGAGGUAAUGGCUCACCAAGGCGAAGACGCGUAGCUGGUCUGAGAGGAUGAUCAGCCACACUGGAACUGAGACACGGUCCAGACUCCUACGGGAGGCAGCAGUGGGGAAUCUUGCGCAAUGGGCGAAAGCCUGACGCAGCGACGCCGCGUGAGUGAUGAAGGCCUUCGGGUUGUAAAGCUCUGUGGGGAGAGACGAAUAAGUGCAGGCUAAUACCCUGCAUGAUGACGGUAUCUCCUUAGCAAGCACCGUCUAACUCUGUGCCAGCAGCCGCCGUAACAC